UACGGAGGGCGCGAGCGUUGUCCGGAAUCACUGGGCGUAAAGGGCGCGUAGGCGGCCCUGGUAAGCCGGCGGUGAAAGCCCGGGGCUCAACCCCGGGUCGGCCGACGGGACUGCCGGGCUGGAGCACGGUAGGGGCAGGCGGAAUUCCGGGUGUAGCGGUGGAAUGCGUAGAGAUCCGGAAGAACACCGGUGGCGAAGGCGGCCUGCUGGGCCGGUAGAUCUGUUAAUUCAGAUCGUGCUGACGCUGAGGCGCGACAGCGUGGGGAGCAAACAGG
rnacentral:rRNA from 1 species